rnacentral:rRNA from 1 species
CAGUAGCCACGGGAAUACGAAGGGGGCUAGCGUUGUUCGGAAUUACUGGGCGUAAAGCGCACGUAGGCGGAUAUUUAAGUCAGGGGUGAAAUCCCGCAGCUCAACUGCGGAACUGCCUUUGAUACUGGGUAUCUUGAGUAUGGAAGAGGUUAGUGGAAUUGCGAGUGUAGAGGUGAAAUUCGUAGAUAUUCGCAGGAACACCAGUGGCGAAGGCGGCUAACUGGUCCAUAACUGACGCUGAGGUGCGAAAGCGUGGGGAGCAAACAGGAUUAGAUACCCCGGUAGUCCCUGUCUCUUAUAC